GUCCCUGUAGACAAUAGCAACUCCCCUGCCUUGACCCCCUAGUCUGGUCUCGGGCAAUAUCAAAAAUUCAGGUGGGCAGAGCUAGGUAAGGUCAGGCCCACCCAGCUCCCUCACCCAAAUCAUAGAAUCAUGGAACUGGAGAGUUAGCUGGGACCCUGAAAAUAAUCUAGCCCCACAUACUGCAAUGCAGGAAUCUCAAGUAAAUCAUCCUUUACAGAUGUCCAUCCAACCUCUCUUGGAAAACCUCCAAUGAAGGAGCGUUCACAACCUACUGAGGGAGACUGUUCUGCAGAUCCACCGUCAAGCGGCUAUUAGCUUCAAAAAACUCUUGGUAAUGCAAGCCAAAUCAGCCCACUCAUGGGCAAUCAAAUCAUGGAAGAGCAUGUUUUUAAUAUGGACUGAUCUGACAUUCAGUAGUAACAGCACCAGACUAGAGGGCUCAGUAGAUCUGCUACUAGUACCUCUGGUGGUGUGAGAGGGCUGGAACAAGGAACAGAAACCAAACACCUAGGUCUCCACCCCCGAUGGUGGCCAGCCCACCCUCCACUCCAACCAUGCUCUCCCCUACCCACCUAGCUACUUUCCCCCCACUGCCUCUCAUUCAGAGAGGGAACUCCACCAAACCAAGUUCCCUUUCAGCCAGCCUCUCACUCUGGUUAAGGGUCACAAGCCUGCCUCAUGAAAUGCCUGGUCUGCAAGUCUAAAGCCUGACUGGUAGCUGCCACAACUGCAGCCAGACCCACAGCUGCAGCCACCGCUUGGAGCAGGACUCAGAGAGGAGCUGCCAUACCCUCUCCAACCCCAACUCACAGGAUCUUGGACGGAACCUAUUUCUUAGGCUACUCAGCUGAAGGAAGAGCUCAUUUUGAAAGACCUCAAGUAUAUUGAGAACAUUAAAUAGAAAAAUAGUCCAUGGCCACUAGGUGCCUAGAUUAUAUGUGAACCAACUGGGCAGAAAUAGCCAACUUUCUUAAAUGCUGCCAUAUUCUCUGUCACUCCAGUUCCACCGUUUCCUGAGUGAUUUUCAGUUCUACAAUGCUUCUAUGGGUGGAGUAUAUUUAGAUGAGAAUGGGGACCUGACAGCUGAAUUUGACGUGGUGAACAUUGUGAUGCUUGCCAAUGACUCCCUUCACGUAGGGAAAGUUGGGAGUAUGGAGACACAGGGAUCCGCAGAUGUAAAAGUCACCAUUGAUCAGGAUGCCAUCGUGUGGCCCCUUUGGUUUAAUAAGGUGGGUUAAAUCAUUCGGAUACAUUUGAUUAUGAUCCAAAAAAGAAAAAGAAAACAGGAUUUUGGAUUGAAAGGGAUUUCAGUUUUGUAGGAAGAGUCAUCCCUACUUCAACUCCCAUGAGCAUAUUUAUGAAGGUAAUAUUUUUUGCCUCAACUUGCAUCACUUCAUUCUUGUUUCUAUUGAAUUACAUUUCCCAAUUUACUGCUCAGUCACUGAGGUUUGGAGAGGUUCUGCUGGAGGUCUUCACAAUCUAUUUUUGUUUAAAAUUCCCUGAACAAUUUAGUAAAGGUAAGGUUAAAGCCAGUUUAAUCCAGUCAAAUCCAACUAUGGGGUGUGGUGAUCAUCUCUGCUUUCAAGCUGAGGGAGCCGGUAUUUGUCUGUAGACAGCUUUUUUCGGGUCAUGUGGCCAGCAUGACUAAACUGCUUCUGGUGCAAGUGGACACUGUGACGAGUGCCAGAAUGCAUGGAAAAGCUGUUUACCUUCCUACACCUAUUUAUCUACUUGCACAAGUAAGCUUUAGACCUGCAAGGUUGGCAGGAGCUGGGACUAUUGGCUCCACUAUUAUUGCAUGGCUAGAAAGACCGUUAACUCCUGACCAUCUUUCUUUAUGGGCAGACCAUUCCUCAUUCCAGAUGUGCUGAGAGCUGUCAUAUUGGGGAUGUCAAGGUCAUCCGGGAAGGAGAGCCACUUUGCUGCUAUGAUUGUGCUCCCUGUGUAAAAGGGACAGUCUCCACUGUGGAAGGCAAGUGAGAGAAGUACGGCUUUGAAGGAAUAGGGAAACUUCAGUGUGUGUGUUUUAAAAAUCAUUUUUUUUAAUUUUCCAAUAAAAACAGCCAAUCAACAUAUCCGUAUCAUAAUCCAAUUAAAAGCAAGAAACUAAAAUAAAAAAGACCAAAUUAUAGUCCAAAUUGUAAUUAUUAAUUUUACCAGGUUCCCCAUAGUCUGGACCUCUGAAGCAUAUCUCCAAAUCUUCAGUCCUGCCUCUUCUCAUUGUUUUCAUAUUUCUGCCUUCUGCUUUUAACACUUUAAAGUUCUCCGCCCCUGGCUAUGCGAUUCUCAGUCAUGUCAAAAGUCAUAUGUCCUUUCAUUCAUCAAAUACAGCUUUAUUUGUAAAAAUAUAUUUUUUCCAACUGUCUAUUUACCAGCGCAGCUUUUCCUGACUUCAUUCCAACCUUCCAAUCCGGGCUGUUGUCCAAGUUUAUCAUUUGAAGUUUAACGACGCAGCAACUCCCAAGUUGUUAAAUCACUCCAAUUCAGGCUGUUGUCCAAACCUUUCUUUUGAGAUUUAGUGACGCAGUGUCUUCCACGUUGUUGAGUUGUUACUAUAGAUUGCUGGGGAGACUGUUUGCAAUAUUGCAAUGUAAAUGAAUUGUGUUCCACAGAUAUAAGUCAUUUGGUGAUCGAUCAGCCUUCUCGGAGACCACACAAUCUCCCCCCUCUGCUAGACAUCCAUUCAGCCUUCUCUCUCUCUCAUAAUGAAAAACUUCUGCAAACAGCUGCACUAUAUGUUAUCCCAAAUUGUUAUUUCAAGAUAUUACAAAGUCAGCCAGCAAAUAUUUCCUACUCCCCUCGAAAAAGGGGGGAAUUCUCAUCUUUCCGUGCUGAUUCAUAUUAACAAACGCCAUCUUGUUUCUUCUUUUAUGUUUAUCAAGUCUUUCAAGUCUGAGUAAAGCUGUACAGUUGAAUACUUAAUUAUAAAUAGAAGCCCAUCUGUACUCUUUUUUUAAAAAAAUAAUAAUAGGUUUCUUAAUGAGGCUUGGCAUAGAAAACCAAUUGUAGAUGUUAAGAAGAGAAAAAAGACAUACCAAAUACCUCUGUAAUCCAAACACCAUGAUGAGAAUCUCUUUGAAGCCCGAGCUUAAACACCAGGGACUGUACAGUUCUGCAGGUUUUUUCUUUAUCUUCUUCGGUCCAGACUAUGUCUGUUUAUUGUCCGAAUCCAAUUAUUUUAUCAAACAGAUAUUUCCGGCUAUGAGAGUGACAUCGGAGAAUGCCAGCUGUGUCGUGCUCCGGGACCCAGUGUCCUGUCACUUGCACCUUGAUGCAAACUGACAAUCUCGGACAAUCUGUGGGUCUACGAGACAGUCCUCCCCCACCCUGGGGAGUCUGCCAGGGCUAAUUACCCCCCUAUCAGCCCUGAAUUACCGGCAUGGCUGGGAUUCGAUCGUAUGGGAGUCAGCCAUGGAAACAGGAAGCAAGGGGCAACUUUUGUGAUCCUGUCCAACACAAUGCUAUUUCUUCAUUUUAUCCCCGCCCC